rnacentral:rRNA from 1 species
GUGCCAGCAGCCGCGGUAAGACGAACCGUGCGAACGUUGUUCGGAAUCACUGGGCUUAAAGGGCGCGUAGGCGGCAGAUCAAGUCCGGGGUGAAAUCCUCCAGCUCAACUGGAGAAGUGCCUUGGAUACUGAUGUGCUCGAGGGAGGUAGGGGUCCGCGGAACUUCUGGUGGAGCGGUGAAAUGCGUUGAUAUCAGAAGGAACGCCGGUGGCGAAAGCGGCGGACUGGAUCUCUUCUGACGCUGAGGCGCGAAAGCUAGGGGAGCAAACGGGAUUAGAUACCCCCGUAGUCC